UUUCGCAAUGCCCGAAAGGGUGACGAAGCGACGCCGCGUGGGUGAGGAAGGCCCUCGGGUUGUAAAACCCUGUCAGGAGUUAAGAAAUGUAAGUGCGCUAAUAUCGCAUUUAUUUGACGAAGGCUCCAAAGGAAGCCACGGCUAACUCUGUGCCAGCAGCCGCGGUAAUACAGAGGUGGCAAGCGUUGUUCGGAAUUAUUGGGCGUAAAGAGCACGUAGGUGGGUUUGCAAGUCAGAUGUGAAAGCCUUCUGUUCAACGGAAGAAUUGCAUCUGAAACUGCAAGUCUUGAGUGUAGGAGGGGAGAAUGGAACUUCUGGUGGAGCGGUGAAAUGCGUAGAUAUCAGAAGGAACGCCGGCGGCGAAAGCGAUUCUCUGGCCUAUUACUGACACUCAGUGUGCGAAAGCUAGGGGAGCAAACGGGAUUAGAUACCCCGGUAGUCCUAGCCGUAAACGAUGGGCACUAAGUAGAGGGGUUUU
rnacentral:rRNA from 1 species